rnacentral:tRNA from 1 species
GAGGGUAUCACUUAGUGGCAGAGUGCGGGCCUAGCAUGCAUAAGGUCCUGGGUUCAAUCCCCAGUACCCUCC